CUUCCGCGAACGAGGCUAAGGCGAGAAUAGAUGAGAUCAAGUGUCCUUCUACUAAACACACCUUUGCCUUUUCAAAACAGCUUUCUGCUUCUCAGAAGCUUUAUCUCCCCCACGUUUCAGCCUAGCCUGGGUUUUUGAAUGACCCUCUCGGGCUGUGCCUCAAGUGAAAGGGGCCGAGCAGCAGUGCAGUAGCGAUUUCUUUUCCACGCUGUGAUGCACGGGGCUGCUGAGAGAUGUUUAAGUGAGCGAUGCAGUGGCUGGAGGUUCAGAGCCAGAAGGGAUGUGCCUGGGACAGGAUGGAAACAGGUACCGUCUGGGGUUGGAUCCUGAGGCUCCUCUGUUCUUCACGCUGAUCCACUGAAAGAGUCCCUGAACUUGUCCAUGUGUGUCUGAGUCUGGAGCCCCAGGUCACCAUGCACCUGGAAGGGAAUGGCCAGUCAGGCAGCUCAACUUCUGGUGCCAGGGCAGGUCUGUGUGACAGCCAUGCCUGUCUACAAUGACAGAAGGAGAGGCUGCUGGCUGGGACCAUCAAGCACACCAGUAGACAGGAGGCGGAGGAAAGUGGG
rnacentral:lncRNA from 1 species